AGUUUGUCCCACAUGCUGAAAUAAGAAAUUGUUCAAGACACAUUUAUGCAAAUUGGAAGAAAUUGCAUAAUGGAAUUAAACUGAAACAACUAUUUUAUAAAGUUGUAUACAUUACAUAUGAAGCACAAUUUGUGGCUAACCUAAAGGAACUUAGAGAAGUUGAUCAUGAGGUAGAAGAUGGAUUUGUUUAUAGGGAUCUAAGAGUAUUCUGUAAAGCAUACAUAUCCACUCUACCUAAGUAUGACAAUGUUGAUAACAACAUUGUUGAGACUUUUAAUGGAUGGAUAUGCAAAUCAAGGUUGCUGCAUAUUAUUGACAUGUUGAAAGAGAUUAGGGGUGCUUUGAUGGAAAAGAUUAAAAUAAAGUCUGACAUGAUGAAAAACAGUGUGGAUGAAUUGUGUCCAAGGAUUAGAAAGAAGAUUGAGAAUUUAAAGUGGGAAACCGGAUUCUGUAUACCAAAACCAGCUUUGAAUGAUAAAUUUUAGGUUAAAGUGCUUGAUGAUCAGUUUGUGGUGUCUCUGCCAGAUAGGAGUUGCACAUGCAAAGCUUGGCAACCGACUGGAAUUCCUUGCAUUCAUGCAAUUUCCAGUAUUCAUUGGUUGAGACAGAAUAUGGAUGACUAUGUUGAUGAAUGCUACAAGAAGGACAUGUACUUACAAGCCUAUCAGUAUGCCCUUGAACCAUUAAAUGGCCAGAAGAUGUGGCAUGAGAUCACUGAGGUACCAGUGCAUCCACCACCAUUCAAAAGGAUGCCAGGAAGACCUAAGGUGAAUAAAAAGAAAGCUGCUGAUGAAAAACAAAGGGAUCCAAACAAAUUAAGUAGAAAUGAAAUAAGGAUGCAGUGUAGAAUUUGCUAUGCAUAUGGACACAAUAAAAGAGGGUGCCCAAGAAAGGAUAAUCCAUCUCCAUCUAAAGAUAUUCUAGAAAAUAAGAGAAGUAGAAGGAGAACUAGAUGACCAUCAACUCUUAGAAAUAGUGUUACCAAUAUUGAUGUACUAAAUCAGACCACAGUUGGAAAUGUAGAAGCUGCUCCUUCACAAUCUAAACCACCAUAUGAUAAGAGAAUAAUUGCCAAAGAAAGAACUCAGGCCAGAAAAGGAUGUGGCCUGCACAUAUCCACAAAGACUGGCAAUAUAUAUUUAGGAAUGCCAAAGGAAAGGAAUGUGAGGACUGUUAGUGGUUAUACAGAAGCAGCAAUAGCAGCAAGGCAAUCUAGAAAGAGGUCUGACACCUAAAGAUCAACUACAGCUAGUCAUGAACAAAGUGUGAAAGUUUGUAGCCAGACUUCAACAGCUAUAAAGGCAAAAGAGAAUGUGACUGUAUUUGAUAGGUUGUCUAAAAAAAGUGCAGCAACUAAUAUAUCAGUUAGUUCGAAAGGUAAAGAGAAGAUGGUAGCUACAAAGAUAAAGACUAGUAGGAAUGCAAAUUUAGUGAUUCAAGAAGGGCAACAUGUUUUGCCAAAGCCAAUGCAGACGUUUAAUAAGUUGUCUUAGAGAAGUUGCAUUACUGUAUUUUUGUAAUUUUGGAGUUGCAUGGAACAAAACUGUCAUUUUGACUUUAUCAAUUAGUUUGCCUUAAUAUUAGUUGUUUUAUGUGUUUGUCUUUUCCAAAAUAUAUGUUUUC